CACAGCUGUUUGGUUCGCCUUGAUGUUGUUAGGUAGGUUGUUAAUUGUCGGUCAGUCAGAACGAUUAAGGGUUGGUUCUUGGUUUAGGUGACGAUGAUCUGGUAGCUAGGGAGUGGGUCUCAGGUUUGGUUACAGUGAUGAUAAUAAUUGAAGUUUAUGUGUGCGUGUGUGCGGGUCGAAGAUUAAGGGUAAGGUAUGAGUUAUUAUGAGUGCAAAGUUAUAUAUGCUGAGAGAUGAGUAUGGUAGUUGCAUCAGCUGAGCUAUGUGUAGUUGGUGUAGCGACUGAGAAGUGUGUCUAGUUGCAUCCGCUAGGCUAUGUGUAGUUGGUUUAGCAACUGAGUUAAUGUUAGUUCCAAGAGUUGUUCAUGGUCCUUUGUAAGAUAUCCAAAAGUCUGUGUCUGUAUUGGUCGAUCAUAGUGUUAUAAUUCGUGAAAUAAAAUAUAUCAGUGGUAGAUUAUAUGAGCUCUUGUCUUCAUGGUGUGUGAU
rnacentral:lncRNA from 1 species